rnacentral:rRNA from 1 species
AUAUUGUAGCUUGCUAUGGUAUAACUUAGUGGCAGACGGGUGAGUAAUGUAUAGGAAUCUACCUAGUAGUACGGAAUAAUUGUUGGAAACGGCAACUAAUACCGUAUACGCCCUACGGGGGAAAAUUUAUUGCUAUUAGAUGAGCCUAUAUUAGAUUAGCUAGUUGGUGGAGUAAUAGCCUACCAAGGCAAUGAUCUAUAGCUGAUCUGAGAGGAUGAUCAGCCACACUGGAACUGAGAUACGGUCCAGACUCCUACGGGAGGCAGCAGUGGGGAAUAUUGGACAAUGGGCGAAAGCCUGAUCCAGCCAUGCCGCAUGAGUGAAGAAGGCCUUUGGGUUGUAAAGCUCUUUUAGUGAGGAAGAUAAUGACGGUACUCACAGAAGAAGUCCUGGCUAACUCCGUGCCAGCAGCCGCGGUAAUACGGAGAGGGCUAGCGUUAUUCGGAAUUAUUGGGCGUAAAGGGCGCGUAGGCUGGUUAAUAAGUUAAAAGUGAAAUCCCGAGGCUUAACCUUGGAAUUGCUUUUAAAACUAUUAAUCUAGAGAUUGAAAGAGGAUAGAGGAAUUCCUGAUGUAGAGGUAAAAUUCGUAAAUAUUAGGAGGAACACCAGUGGCGAAGGCGUCUAUCUGGUUCAAAUCUGACGCUGAAGCGCGAAGGCGUGGGGAGCAAACAGGAUUAGAUACCCUGGUAGUCCUCGCUGUAAACGAUGAAUGUUAAAUAUGGGAAGUUUACUUUCAGUAUUACAGCUAACGCGUUAAACAUUCCGCCUGGGGACUACGGUCGCAAGAUUAAAACUCAAAGGAAUUGACGGGG